GAAAGAAAGAAAGAAAGAAAGAAAGGAAGAAAGGAAGAAAGGAAGGGAGGGAGGAGUCUUACAAAUGACUAAUUCCAGGCCAGCUUUCCUCACAAAAGUUGUUGUUUGUUCUUUGUUCUCAAAUUGGAUUAUGACAUAAGGAAAGUGAUGUCAUGACAUUCACUUGCAUAUCAUAUUACUAUUAGCAUAUAGUUUUAUAUGUACAUAUUUUUCUUGUAAGCUCUCUGAGGGUAGUGAAUAUUUAAUUUUUGUUUUUUUUCUCUAAUUCCUAGCACUGCCGGAUAACAAGAGCUUUAUUAACACUUGUUGAUCAAUGGACUCAUCUAGUCCAAUUCUUAAGUUUAUUUUACAGAUAAGCAAGGGAGUCGCAGAGAUGUCUUGUAACUUGCCUAAAGUUUUGAAUCAAGGUCCUGACUCUAAUUUUAUUUCUCUUUCCACUACCCCACACUGCCCUCUUCCUGGGUCAUGGAUCAUUGGAGUAUUUGUUCCGGGCACCUACCUGGAUAUCUUCCAUACUAUUUGGGUUGCAAAACAAAGGAAGCUUCUGACACGCUGGGAUAGAGUUGACCCGUGACCAUCUGGAUGAAAGCAUAUGUACCGGGACAAGACUUCAAGUGAUCAUUUGGUCCAGAAGCAUUUUCAGUCAGAUGGAGAAAAUGAGGCUCAGAGAGUGGGGUAACUUAAGAUAACACUACUUUUAAUCAGAAGUGCCAGAACUUGAAAUCAAAAUUGUAAACUCC